rnacentral:rRNA from 1 species
UACGUAGGGGGCAAGCGUUAUCCGGAUUCAUUGGGCGUAAAGGGCGUCUAGGCGGCUUGGUAAGUCAGGUGUGAAAACCGGGGGCUCAACCCGCGGCCUGCAUCUGAAACUGCCAGGCUUGAGUCUGGUAGAGGAAAGUGGAAUUCCCAGUGUAGCGGUGAAAUGCGCAGAUAUUGGGAGGAACACCAGUGGCGAAGGCGGCUUUCUGGGCCACGACUGACGCUGAAGCGCGAAAGCUAGGGGAGCAAAC